rnacentral:ncRNA from 2 species
CUCUUAUCAAGAGAGGUGGAGGGAAAGGGCCCUAUGAAACCCGGCAACCAGCAUUUAGGCUAAGGUGCCAAUUCCUGCAGCAAAAUCCUGCAAGAUAAGAG